CCUAAUUAAGUCAUGUGUUGUAUAUUAACCAGUCUAUCAGACAAUUUUUUGCUAAAUUUAUUAUUUAUACGUCAUUAUACGGCUCUAUUAAAUGCUAUUAAAUUAUCCUCACCUUAUCCAUUGGGAGUGUCAUUGUUAAGGCAGUAGUACCAGUAAAUAACCAAUAGGUGUCAGUAAUCCGCGGGAGAGCUUCGCUGCAUAUUUCUCUUCAAGAUUGAGAAUCGCAACGAAAUCCUCGUCGAGCAACACGUCCACUGAGCAACCAUGUCUGUGUCCUUAAAGGAACUCUGUCAGGUACAGAGUGGAACGAUGAACUUGAAAAUCAACCAUUCUGAUGACUGGCGUCCCCAUCCGAGUCACCACCUCAGACAACAACAGUCAUAAACUCACAAACACAAAUACACUCAGUAAUGCGCUUAAUAAAGAAAGACUUAACUAUGA